GAUGAACGCUAGCGGCAGGCCUAACACAUGCAAGUCGAGGGGCAUCAUGGCGUAGCAAUACGCUGAUGGCGACCGGCGCACGGGUGCGUAACGCGUAUGGAACCUACCCACCGCAGGGGGAUAACCCGCCGAAAGGCGGACUAAUACCCCAUGGUUCCCCGACCCUGCCUGGGGUUGGGGGUAAAGCCUACGGGCGGCGGUGGAUGGCCCUGCGUGCCAUUAGCUGGCUGGUGGGGUAACGGCCCACCAGGGCGACGAUGGCUAGGGGUCUGAGAGGACGAUCCCCCACACUGGUACUGAGACACGGACCAGACUCCUACGGGAGGCAGCAGUGAGGAAUAUUGGACAAUGGAUGGAAAUCUGAUCCAGCCAUGCCGCGUGCAGGAAGACGGCCCUAUGGGUUGUAAACUGCUUUUAUAUGGGAGCAAUAAGGUUUACGAGUAGACCGAUGAGAGUACCAUAUGAAUAAGCAUCGGCCUAAUCCGUAGCCAGCAGCCGACC
rnacentral:rRNA from 1 species